rnacentral:lncRNA from 1 species
UCCAGAUUUCACAACCAGCCAGAUCACUUGAAGGCAGGGGCUAAGUCUGAUUUUUCUCCGUAAGUAUAAUGACACAAAUGAUCAAAAACAAACAAACAGAAAACAUGGACUAUCAAUCGAACAGUAGAAUCUCAAGAAACACAGCAUGUUAGUGCCUUUCUUUUUUUUCACCCUCUCAACCCGGCUUUUCCCAUAAGUGCCUUUCUUGAAAAAAACAAGAAAGAAAUUGACAGCAAAUUUCAACUAACCAAGCGAUGAAUUAAAUGAAGAACUCAAGAAUGGGGAAGCUGAAGAGAAAGACUGGUGUAGAAUUUGAAGCACCUGGCAAGAAGAUAAAAUAACUUUUCAUAAAGAUGGAGACUUGCCAUGAAUGAAACCAGGCAACUUGUGGAAGAAAUCCUUGUAACAAAAUCCUCACCUCUGUUGAGAAGUUGCAUUGGAAAGACCAUUUGGGGCCCUGGUGGUCAGAAUUCUAAAAUCAAGUUGUCAGCAGGGA